rnacentral:rRNA from 1 species
UACAGAGGUCUCGAGCGUUGUUCGGAUUCAUUGGGCGUAAAGGGUGCGUAGGUGGCGCUGUAAGUCGGGUGUGAAAUCCUGGAGCUCAACUCCAGAACUGCCUUUGAUACUGGAGAGCUUGAGUCCGGAAGAGGUGAGUGGAAUUCCGAGUGUAGAGGUGAAAUUCGUAGAUAUUCGGAAGAACACCAGUGGCGAAGGCGGCUCACUGGACUGGUAUUGACGCUGAGGUGCGAAAGCGUGGGGAGCAAACAGG